rnacentral:rRNA from 1 species
AACUAACGCUAGCGGCGUGCCUAACACAUGCAAGUCGUACGAGAAAGUCGGCUUCGGCUGAUGAGUAAAGUGGCGCACGGGUGAGUAACGCGUGGAUAAUCUACCCUUAAGUUUGGAAUAACGUACCGAAAGGUGCGCUAAUACCUGAUAACACUGCAUAACUACUGUUGUGUAGUCAAAGAAGGCCUCUGCUUGCAAGCUUUCGCUGAAGGAUGAGUCCGCGUACCAUUAGCUAGUUGGUAGGGUAAUGGCCUACCAAGGUUAUGAUGGUUAGCUGGUCUGAGAGGAUGAUCAGCCACACUGGAACUGAAACACGGUCCAGACUCCUACGGGAGGCAG